AUCGUUAAGAUUAAUAGAACGCUAUGUUCUCUAAUAACUCUAGAAGAUGUCAAUACUUGAAAAAAUCCCACAAAAGAAAUUUAAAAAGCAUACAAGUUACUCCGAUCAGGUACAAAACUUGAUCAUGGUAGUCACAAACCCUAAUUUCGUCUCCGCCUUGCACUAGCGAGAGUGGUGGCGGCGGAGAUGGCGGUGACGCUUUCCGCUCAAUCCGCGAUCGUUUCCCUCUGGAGCGGAACUGACUCAAGUCCAACUCGGAUCGUCCGGUUCUUUUCCGCAGUCGAUCUCACCCGACCCGCUUCAAUCGCAAGAGUUUGCCCUGGCUGAAGGAGAAGUCGGCGUUCCACUUCUUGGUGCUUCUUGCUGUCUUCCUCUACGCAAUGUCGUCGAUGGUGUUGCAGAGCUCAAUCACAGCGGUGUCAAGGCAAGGAAGCGAGCGAGGCCGGAGGUUGAAUAGGGAAGGAUUGAGGAUCGGUAGCUUGUUGAAGUUCUUGCCGCCUAGGGUUUCGAGAAGCGAUGGUCUCGAUUCAUUGCAAUCGGAGCUGAAGCUUGCACUUUGCAUUGGAAUUUCAAAACUCACAUUAAUGCUCUGUUUGGUGGCUGCGAAAAUUAGAGUCCAUCAACGUGUUACUUUUGCAGUAUUUUCCUCAAUUUUUGAAACCAGAGGCCAAUGGGAAGGCCACAAACUACUUAGCCUAUGUUUUUCACAUUCUUACAACAAAUUUUGACUACAUUAUGUGACAUUAUGCCACUGUGUCAUCACAUGUUGAUGCAGGGUAUAUAUUCCUUACACGUUUCAAUGGGAAAGAUCCACAUUUCAUGCCGGAGAAGCUUUUGCUAUGAUUUCCGCUUCUUUUGUUUCACCUUUAAGAAACAAUUUCAUGUAUUUCUUGUUUAUUAGCUAGCUACUCUGCGACCAAGUUCUCUAAUUAUGAUGAGGAGAAGGUGAGGAGAGAAGAGAACACAGUGGGACCCAUGGCUAAGAAGGAGGAGGUGGAGGUGGAGGUGGAGGUGGGGUCCAGCUUGACCAUGGAGAGGGUGGCUGUGGCUAAACAGUAUAUAGAGAGCCACUACAAGGCUUAGAUGAAGCACAUCCAAGAACACAACGAGAGGUACUGGAAAUUGUCUCUUUUAGUGCACCUGGAUAAAUGCCCUCAUCCUCAGGCUCAUCAAACAUUUAUCAAAUUAAAUAAAUCUUUUAAAGAAUUGCAAGAUCCAAAUAAGGCGAGGAUUAAUGAAUUGGCCCAGCAACUAUAACAGAUUCAGCUAAGCAACUCCAACCAAAUGCAGCUCUCCCAUGCACCCUGAUAUCUUCUAUUGAUUCUUGCAUACGUUAGUUUGGCCUAAUGGGUGCAUGAUUAUGUUAGUGCUUUCAACUGCUGUGAACAAGGUUAUGUUGUUUAUCUGUACGUACUACAAAUGGUGUUUCCCCUCUUAUAUUCAAAUGGAUUAGUGGUGUUUAAAUAUCUCUGUGUUUCGGAUAUUCUUUGGCUGGAUACUUGGCAGCAUUGCUUCAAUCAAGCUAUAGACAAUCAAUUUUACAGCUUAUUUCACAAUAUAUGAGGCCAUUGAUAUCA